CCUACGGGUGGCAGCAGUGAGGAAUAUUGGUCAAUGGGCGGACGCCUGAACCAGCCAAGUCGCGUGAGGGAAGACUGCUCUAUGGGUUGUAAACCUCUUUUGUCAGGGAGCAACGCCGGCUACGUGUAGCCGGACUGAGAGAACCUGAAGAAAAAGCAUCGGCAAACCCGGUACCAGCAGACGCGUUAAUACGGAGGAUGCGAGCGUGAGCGGGAUUUAUGGGGUUGAAAGGGUGCGUAGGCGGAUUGCCAGGUCAGCGGUAAAGUCGCGGGGCUCAACCUCGCUCCGCCGUUGAUACUGGCGUGCUUGAGUGGGCGAGAGGUAUGCGGAAUGCGUGGUGUAGCGGUGAAAUGCAUAGAGAUCACGCAGAACUCCGAUUGCGAAGGCAGCAUACCGGCGCCCAACUGACGCUGAGGCACGAAAGCGUGGGUAUCGAACAGGAUUAGAUACCCGUGUAGUC
rnacentral:rRNA from 1 species